GGUUAGCUUGUUGCUGACUUUGAAAAUUUAUCUGAGCAAACCACUUCAAUUUUGCACAGUAUGACUAAAAUCUUGGAGUCAUAAAGGACAGAAGAAAGAAGUCAGUGAAGUUUAGCUGCUGUGCCCUGAGGGGUGAGGGAAAUGUGGUCGCCUAAAACACCAUCAAAGGUUGCUGCUUAAACACUUCCCUCAGCCAUAUAUGAAGGCUAAAUCAGAUAAAGAUCCCAGGAAGUGUGCAACAGGAGAACCAGUGACACAAUCCACCUUGGUAUGAGUGUCAGCCAUCUUGUCUUUCAACUGGAAAGCUAGAAGUGACAGCAUGGUAUAUUAAGAGGUCUCUGCUUGAAUAAAUUGAUGUCAAGUUUUAUUACAUAUAGACCAAGCUAGAAGGCACAAGACAACCACUCAACAACUAUGUAUUAAACAACGAAAUCAACGAAAUGGCAUACAGCAGUAUUUCAAAUUCUUGAAAUACAGAUAGGGACAGGCAAAAACUGUAUUCUCUAGAAGGCUGAAGUCAGCCAAAGAAAAUGCACAGUAAACACAAAUCGAGAUAUUUAUAAGAUC
rnacentral:lncRNA from 1 species